rnacentral:rRNA from 1 species
GACUCCUACGGGGGGCAGCAGUGAGGAAUAUUGGUCAAUGGACGAGAGUCUGAACCAGCCAAGUAGCGUGAAGGAUGACUGCCCUAUGGGUUGUAAACUUCUUUUAUAUGGGAAUAAAAUGUUCCACGUGUGGGAUUUUGUAUGUACCAUAUGAAUAAGGAUCGGCUAACUACGUGCCAGCAGCCGCGGUCAUACGUAGGAUCCGAGCAUUAUCCGGAGUGACUGGGUGUAAAGAGUUGCGUAGGUGGCAUAAUAAGUAGCUAGUGAAAUCUGGUGGCUCAACCAUUCAGACUAUUAGCUAAACU